ACUUGGGCCCUUUCAACUUUCCCUCUGGUCCUUCAAUGUUAACAUCAGGGCCUUCAACGUCCACUUUGGGGCCUGAGACAUCAACGUCAGCCUUGGGCAGGUUCACAUCCACUUCAGGGCCCUCUGCUUUGAAGCCAGGCAUGCUGAACUUGGGCAUUUUCAUCUUGGGCAUCUUCAGGUGCCAAUCUGGGCCAUGAACAUCCACAUCUGGAGCACUAAUGUCAACUUUGGGCCCUUUAAUGUCAACAUCUGGCACUUUCAUUUCACCUUCUACC
rnacentral:lncRNA from 1 species